ACUAUUCCUUUGGAAUUUAAUGAGUUCAGCAUACGUAUAGCAGUUUGCCUUUCACAAUUUCAGUGCAAAUGGGGAAGAGAUAGAUCAGAAAACAAACACAAGACUUGAGCUAUGGAGAGGCACUAAAUAUCUCAAUUUGAUUGAAAGCUCAUCUGUAUUUUAAUUACUAACAGCCAAACAUAAUAUAUAGGCAUUGGAGAUCAAGCCUUUGCAUUUGAAGGUAUCUAAAUUUUAUUAUAUUUCUGUAUGUUGUGAACAUAGAACUGAUAGAAGUAUCGUGAGUUUAUCUUUUUGUUCUUAUUGUUUUUUACUGAUUUUGUUAAUAAUGACAAUAGGAGUAAUGAACUUAAUUUGUGUUGUUUUUGUAAGAGAUCAUGUUUUUAUGUAGUUAACUUCUUGAUAGAUCUAUGGUGCUGCAGAAUGAUUUGGCUUUAAAGUCUACGAGCUGUAUGGAGUAUGGAAAGCUAUAGUUUGGUUUAAUACAAAGGC